rnacentral:rRNA from 1 species
CAAUAGCGUAUAUUUAAGUUGCUGCAGUUAAAAAGCUCGUAGUUGGAUUUCGGGUGGGAAUGGCCGGUCCGCCGUUUCGGUGUGCACUUGCUACGCCCACCUUGCUGCCGGGGACGUGCUCUUGAGUUCACGCUCGGGACACGGAGUCGGCGAGGUUACUUUGAGUAAAUUAGAGUGUUAAAAGCAGGCCUACGCUCUGAAUACAUUAGCAUGGAAUAACACGAUAGGACUCUGGCCUAUCUUGUUGGUCUGUAGGACCGGAGUAAUGAUUAAGAGGGACAGUCGGGGGCAUUCGUAUUUCAUUGUCAGAGGUGAAAUUCUUGGAUUUAUGAAAGACGAACUACUGCGAAAGCAUUUGCCAAGGAUGUUUUCAUUAA